CUCAUUUGGCAACAGAAGGAUGUUGACUUUCCAAAAGAGCAUUUUUGGUGCUAGUAUGCAUUUUGGGGUCAAUGUCCUCCAGUCCUCCUAGUAUGCAUCUUGAGAUUGAAUUUGAAAAUCAAGUCCCUAUCCAAGUGCUUACAAGUUAUAAUAUUUGGACCUUAAAGAUGAAACAUGAAGGUCUGUGGCAAAUUUAUAGUCUGUAGUUCAUUUGGCAGAAAAGUGUGGCCCGUCACAGCAGGUCAACAUGGAUGAACGCGUGCAACAUCUGAGGCUCGAGGCAAGUUUCAUACUUUUUUGUCUGUUAAGGCUCAAGAGAAUAGGAAGGUUGACAUACAAGAUGAAAAUUUGAACUACUAAUAAAAACAUGUAUUUGUUAUGCACUUGUGAUUCAAAUCAUUGAAAAGCUUACCAUAUAAGCUUUUCAGUGUGUCAUGAUCAAAUUUGAGCUUGUGUCGAGGUAAUAUGUGCAAGCAAUUAACGUUUGAUCAUAUUUGGAACAAGUUCAGGGUCUGAUACAGCAAACAACUAUGUUGGCUUUAACUUUAACAUGGAUUUCUUAAUUUGACCCAAUGGAAUUAACUUAAAUUCAUGUUUUGAUUGGAUAUAUCUCCUAUCCCUUUAUGGAAUCCAGUACAAGUUUAGUGGGACAGGUUUAUUAAUUCAAUUGGUGACAGGUGAUUUUAAUAAUUCAACUCAAGGUUUUUUAUUUCUUUUCCUUUUUUCCCCUCUUUUCUUUCUUCUUUUCAGCUCAAUAUAAUGAGAAUGACAAAUUCAUGAAGGUACAACUGAUAUUCUUGUAUUUUUUUCAAUUAAAUGAAAUAUCAGACUUUUCACUCAAAUUACUAGAUGAGGCAUCACAUGCCUCCUCAAUUUAUUCUUCUUCAUUUACCUAAUUCAUUAUUAUACUCUUUUUAUAGAUCUUUGCAAUGAUGAUAUCAGAUUUCUUGACUUUUGCAUAAAUUGGUACUAUUAGGUAGGACCUCAUAUAUAAGGAUGAAAUAAGUUAAAGUGUUCUGAAGGCUUUUUCAUGAAUGGAAGAUAAGGGUAAGGCCAAGUGCUUCACUAAUGGGAAUUCCACAGAAUGUGGUACAACAAGACUCUGCUGAGGCUACUAGCAGAAAAUAUUGUGAGCUCUCGUAGUUAUUUAACUUUGUUUGGUAGUUGUUCCCUUGUAUGACUUUCCAUUCAUGACUUCCUUGUGUGAGCUGUAAUUGUCCAAGUUCAUUGUUUCCAUGUGCCUUUGCGAUUAUUGUCAUUUAAUCAUCGACUUAAUUUUGGUUGACUCAUCGUUUGAUCAAGUAUCUUGGUUGAUAUUUGGUUGAUGUUGUGGUGCCAACAGCUCAACUUACUCAUGGCAUAAUCCUCUUGCUUGUAUGAAUUUCUGAGCAAAAAA
rnacentral:lncRNA from 1 species